UCAACCCACACACUCCCCAUUUUUUUCCUUUUCUUCUUCACAGAGAACACACUCACACACACAACUUCAUCCUCACCAUACACUGAUACACACAGACAACAAAUACUCCACACACUCACAUACUACUACACAUAUACACAGAACACACCCUCAUACUGACCUCACCGUCACACACCCAUAUACACUACACACUCUCAUUCCACCGGGAUACACACAGAAGCGGAUAGAUAACAGAUGACGUGAGAGAUAGAGAGCAGUUGAUAGAGAAAAUAGGAGAAGAAAACAGUAGAGGGUGAUCGGUGAUCGGAAAAGGAAAGAGAGGGAGAACAAGGGAUCGACGGGGUCAGAAAUUUGACUCGUUUGCUUCGAUUUCUUCCAUCUCCGAGCUCGCCGGAGAUACAGCGAAGUGAAAAAAGUGCUUAGCCCCCUCAAAAUCCGAAAGUUCUGACCAGUUGAGCUUGACUGAGCUCUGGUGAUAUGAAAACAACGACCCAGCCCGCUCCGCAAUCGAACCCUUAUCGGAAAUCAUAAAUGGGGUUUUGUUGGCCGUCGUGAAUUUUUUUUGCGAUUCUUGUGGAAAACAAUAAAGGUAUAUCGAGGUUGGUUUUGUUCGAUUGGCGAGUUCAAGGUCGAGGUUCAUUGAUUCCCA
rnacentral:lncRNA from 1 species